GGUUGUAGCUCAGGGGCAGAGCGCUUACCUAGCAUGUGUGAGGCACUGGGUUCAAUUCUCAGCACCA
rnacentral:tRNA from 1 species